rnacentral:piRNA from 1 species
UGAAGUUUGAAUGAAUGGGGUCCUA